GAGUUUGAUCAUGGCUCAGAACGAACGCUGGCGGCAGGCUUAACACAUGCAAGUCGAACGCCUAUAGCAAUAUAGGAGUGGCGCACGGGUGAGUAAUACAUGGGAACGUGCCUUUCAGUCUGGAAUAACCACGGGAAACUGUGGCUAAAACCGGAUAUUCUCUGAGGAGGAAAGUUUACGCUGAAAGAUCGGCCCAUGCCAGAUUAGCUAGUUGGUGAGGUAAUGGCUCACCAAGGCAACAAUCUGUAGCUGUUCUGAGAGGAAGACCAGCCACACUGGAACUGAGACACGGUCCAGACUCCUACGGGAGGCAGCAGUGGGGAAU
rnacentral:rRNA from 1 species